AAGUCUGAUGGAGCACGCCGCGUGAGUGAAGAAGGGUUUCGGCUCGUAAAACUCUGUUGUUAGAGAAGAACAGCCGUGAGAGCAACUGCUCACGGUAUGACGGUAUCUAACCAGAAAGUCACGGCUAACUACGUGCCAGCAGCCGCGGUAAUACGUAGGUGGCAAACGUUGUCCGGAUUUAUUGGGCGUAAAGGGAGCGCAGGCGGUUUAUUAAGUCUGAUGUGAAAGCCUUCGGCUUAACCGGAGAAGUGCAUCGGAAACUGAUAAACUUGAGUGCAGAAAAGGAUAGUGGAACUUCAUGUGUAGCGGUGAAAUGCGUAGAUAUAUGAAGGAACACCAGUGGCGAAGGCGGCUAUCUGGUCUGUAACUGACGCUGAGGCUCGAAAGCAUGGGUAGCAAACAGGAUUAGAUACCCUGGUAGUCCAUGCCGUAAACGAUGAAUGCUAGGUGUUGGAAGGUUUCCGCCUUUCAGUGCCGCAGCUAACGCAUUAAGCAUUCCGCCUGGGGAGUACGACCGCAAGGUUGAAACUCAAAGGAAUUGACGGGGACCCGCACAAGCGGUGGAGCAUGUGGUUUAAUUCGAUGCUACGCGAAGAACCUUACCAGGACUUGACAUCUUCUGCCAAUCUAAGAGAUUAGACGUUCUCUUCGGGGACAGAGAGAC
rnacentral:rRNA from 2 species